rnacentral:rRNA from 1 species
AGCGAACGCUGGCGGCAGGCUUAACACAUGCAAGUCGAACGGUCCUUCGGGAUAGUGGCGGACGGGUGAGUAACACGUGGGAACGUACCCUUAGGUUCGGAACAACACAGGGAAACUUGUGCUAACACCGGAUAAGCCCUUCGGGGGAAAGAUUUAUCGCCUUUGGAGCGGCCCGCGUCUGAUUAGCUUGUUGGUGAGGUAAUGGCUCACCAAGGCUACGAUCAGAAGCUGGUCUGAGAGGAUGGCCAGCCACACUGGGACUGAGUCACGGCCCAGACUCCUACGGGAGGCAGCAGUGGGGAAUCUUGCGCAAUGGGCGAAAGCCUGACGCAGCCAUGCCGCGUGGAUGAUGAAGGUCUUAGGAUUGUAAAAUCCUUUCACCGGGGACGAUAAUGACGGUACCCGGAGAAGAAGCCCCGGCUAACUUCGAGCCAGCCGCCGCCGUAA